AUGCAGAAAUAUGAGAAACUGGAGAAGAUUGGGGAAGGGCACCUAUGGAACUGUAUUCAAGGUCUCAAACCGGGAGACCCAUGAGAUUGUGGCUCUGAAAUGGAUGAGGCUGGAUGAUGAUGAUGAGGGUGUGCCGAGUUCUGCCUACUGAGGGAGAUCUGCCUCCUCAAGGAGCUGAAGCACAAGAACAUCGUCAGGCUUCGUUCUGCAUAGUGACAAGAAGCUGACUUUGGUUUUUGAGUUCUGUGAUCAGGACCUGAAGAAGUAUUUUGACAACUGCAAUGGUGACCUCGAUCCUGAGAUUCUGAAGAAUGAGGAGCUGAAGUUGGCUGAUUUUGGUUUGGCUCAAGCCUUUGGGAUCCCAGUCCGCUGUUACUCUGCUGGAGGUGGUGACAUUGUGGUACUGUCCACCGGAUGACCUCUUUGGGGCCAAACUGUACUCCACGUCCAUCGACAUGUGGUCAGCUGGCUGCAUCUUUGCAGAGCUGGCCAAUGCUGGGCAACCUCUUUUCCUUGGCAAUGAUGAGGAUGACCAGCUGAAGAAGAUUUUCCGGCUGCUGGGGACACCAACUGAGGAGCAGUGGCCCGCUAUGACUAAGCUGCCAGACUACAAGCCCUACCCAAUGUACCCCACCACAACAUCCCUGGUGAAUGCCGUGCCCAAGCUCAAUGCCACAGGGACCUGUUGCAGAAUCUCCUGAAGUGUAACCCUGUCCAAUGUGUCUCAGCGGAGGAGGCCCUGCAGCACUCCUACUUCUCUGACUUCUGUCCCCCCCUAGGCUCUGGGACCCCUGGAUGCCAGGCCCUCUCCUGGCCUAUUUAA